rnacentral:tRNA from 3 species
GGCCCCAUGGUCAAGUGGUUAAGACACCGCCCUUUCACGGCGGUAACGGGGGUUCGAAUCCCCCUGGGGUCACCA